GACAGAGGAUGCAAGCGUUAUCCGGAAUUACUGGGCGUAAAGCGCACGUAGGCGGCUUUGUAAGUAAGAGGUGAAAGCCCAGAGCUCAACUCUGGAAUUGCCUUUUAGACUGCAUCGCUUGAAUCAUGGAGAGGUCAGCGGAAUUCCGAGUGUAGAGGUGAAAUUCGUAGAUAUUCGGAAGAACACCAGUGGCGAAGGCGGCUGACUGGACAUGUAUUGACGCUGAGGUGCGAAAGCGUGGGGAGCAAACAGG
rnacentral:rRNA from 1 species